GUCGCGUCAUGCGAAAGGCAAUUUUGCUCCGACAAAUUGUAAAUUUAUAGGCCUCCCUAGGUUCCCCACAGUCUUUUUACCUUGCCUCUCUGGAGGGAUGUAAUCGAUGAAUAAAAUACUAGCAAACUCAAAGGUCGUUACAAGAGGUGUCGGGUAGUACGUCCAGAUGGACCGAAACUAACCUCGUAGUUUAAGGUGUCGGGCAGUGCCUCAAGUACAGAAACUGACAUCCUAAUUAAAUGCGUCCGGUAGUGCGUCGAGAAGGAGAGAAACUGGACUUGCAGUUUAAGGUGUCAGGUAGACAGAAACUGGAAUCCCAGAUUUAGAAGUCAGGUAGAAAGAAACUGGACUUGCAGUUCAGGUAAAGAGAAACUGGACUCGCAGUUUUAGGUGUUAGGUAGUGAGUCCACCCACACAUAAUCUGACCUCUCAGUUAUAGGUGUCAGGUAUAGUGAAACUGGACUCGCAGUUUUAAGUAGGUAGUGCGUUUAGCCGGACAGAAACUGACCUGGAAGAUACAGUGUUAGGUGAUGACUUCAGUUGGAAAGAAACUGACAUUAGGCUGGCAGUGAUAGGUGACAGGUAGUGCGUCCAGACGAGAGACGAGCAGAAAUUGGCCUUGCAGUUAAAGGUGUCAUGAAGUGCGUCAAGCCGGCCAGUAACUGGCAUCUUAGUUUUAUGUCUAUGGUUAUAAGUCGAAAUGAACAGAUGCUGGUCACGCAUUUAUAGGUGUCAAAUAGUUUUUCUAAAUAGACAAAAAUUUUCCGCCGAGUCAUAUGUGUCAAUUGCAACUCCAGACAAAAAAAAUCGCUUCAAAGUUGAAGGUGUCAAGUAGUGCGUUGGGAAGGAGAGAAACUGGUUUCGCAGUAAUAUGUGUCAGAUAGUGAUAGCAGUCUAGCCAAAAAGAAACUUAUCUCGCAGUUAUAGGUGUCAGAUAGUGCGUCUAGCCAAAAAGAAACUGAUCUAGCAUAUAUGGGCGUCAGGUAGUGCGUCAACACGGAGAGAAACCUGCUUUGCAGUUAUAGGUGUCUGAUAGUGCAUUUCUGGCCUCGUAGGGUCAGAUUGUAUGUCUAGAAUCAGAGAAAUUUGCGGAGGAGUUAUAUGUUUCAGGUAGUAACACAAAGAAACUGGCCUCGAAGUUUUAGGUGUCAAGUAGUUCGCCCAGUAGGGCGUUGCUUCACAGUUGAAGGUGUCAGGCAGGUAGUCCUGACGAACAGAAUCUGGACUCGAAGAUAUAGCAGUCAGUUUGUGCGUCAAGUGGGACAGAAACUGGUCUGGCAGUUAUAUGUGUAAGGUAGUGCCUCCAGCCGGACAUAAACUGGACUCUCAGUUAUAGGUGUCAGACAGUGCGUCAAACGGGACAGAAAAUGGCGUGGAAGUGAUAGGUACAAGUCAUUGCGAAUAUAGACACGUAAUUUUUGUGAAAUGUCACAGUUCUCUUUCAAGUUUUCUUUUACAUUUUGAAUAUCUUUAAUUCUUUAGAUCUAACUUACGCUUGACCAUGAAAUUUAAUAUACAUUUAAGAUGCAACGUUACCAUGAAGAUGCUGAUCCAUAAACGUUUUGAGGAAGACAUCUUCUCUGGCAUUUUCCACGCGAACCAUGUACGCAGCAUUCCGAAUACAGUAUUCCUACAAAACGAGGAAGAAAAUUGAAGUGUAUCUAAAUUAAUUGCUUUAAACGCCCAUCAAUGAAAACGUUUAUACCCGUCCAAUUUAUACUACCUGUAAUUUAUUUGUGUUUGAAGAAUUUUAGUAUUUUUUUUUCAGAAUUAUAAUGCUGAAGCAUAUCAGUUAUGUUUGAAAAUAAUGUUAAAAAUGCAGGUUAAGAGUUAAAACAUAUCUUUUUAUUUCUGCUUUAUAGUUAAUAAGCAGGAGAAAUAUUCUUUCAUACAGAUAAACUUGAUGUAUAUUUGUAAUUCUUAAAUUAACAUUUGCCAAUCAAAUAUCUAAAUAAUUUUAUUUUCCAAAAAUGACUAUGCAAAGCAAAUACAUUAGCGUUUAUAAAGUCUCUCCAAGUUAAAAAAGUAAAGACUGGACUUUUAGAUUUUUCCUUUCACUUUUAAUUUUGAAUAAUCAUGCGUGUUUAUAUUUUUUGCAAGCAUUUGCAUGCAUACUGUAAAUCACAAUUUUCGCGAGUGUUUUAAUUUUCAGUAUUCGCUGACUGUCCGUAUUGCCUAAUAUAUAUAUAUAUAUAUAUACUUGCGAAAAUGUUAUUAUUGUUACAAAAUGAAAAUGUUUAUCUCAAGAGUUGGACACAUAUCGUGGAGAGCUUACCACGUUAACCAAUGAUAUUUCUAGAUAUAUAAAAAAUUCAACCUCGCAAAAACAUGUAUUUACGCUAGGUACCUUAGCCGCUUCAAAUGCGAUACUGUUUGGUCCAAACAAAUAACAUGAUCCCUUAUAUGCCAGCCAACCAUCGGGACAACUCGUUGUCAUAUCCACACCUGUAUUUGACAUAUCAAAUGUUAUCAAAUUAUGGUCGUCAAAUGUUAUCAAUUUCGUAUAUUGUGUAAAGAGCAAAGUGAAUGUUUGCAAUUUUUAUCUUAUUUGGUCAUACAUUUUUUAAACAUUUUUAAGCCUUUUCUUUGAAUUAUUCUAAAUGCAUGUAUUACUAUUUUAUACAAUUACACGUUACGUUUUUUAGAACAGUCAAUUUCUAACAAAAAAGUAUGGCUUAUCUAAGAAAAUUACAAGAACUAAAUCAGUAAGAUAGUACGAAUUUACCUUUCUUUCCUUCAAACUCGUCAAAUCUCUUCUGAAGUUUAGCCAGUUGAGUUUCCAAGUCCACCAUUUUCUUUAACAUUUCAUAGUCGUAGUCAAACCUGGACAAAGUUGUUCCAGGUUCCAUAUCGUCUAGAAUUGAUUGCUCACUUAAAGUAAACGUACCAGACAGUAUAAACAGGGCGUAUACAAGUUUCAUGUUUUAGUUCUAAUUUCAAAA
rnacentral:lncRNA from 1 species